UGCGUCUCAGUUUGCCUCAGACUUAAGUGGCUGGUGGAAGUGAGAGAUCUCUAAAGAUUCACCCAAUCCCAUUGUUCUAAGGUAAUAAAUCCUAUAAUUGCUGUAUCCUCAGAACCCAGCACGGGGCACUGCAUACGGUAGAUCUGCUUAACCAUGUACCAAAUGCAUCCGCCUCUUCCCCAACAUCCAUUACUACUGGAACCCACCAAGAACUGAAUUCCAUGGUACUUCUCAGGAUUCUUGAGGUCUGGACUAAGCCCUGGAUUGGGAAAGACGUGUUUAUGAUGCAGACCAGUUGGGGAGAUUUUUCUUGAAGGAGCAGCAGCUUGGGAAUAGCUGACCUGGUGAGAGCAUUCCUCUUCAUCUUGGCUCUGUCUGCUGUAGUUGGGGGUGAGUAGGGGUUUCAGCAGUAGAGGAAUGGGAGCCCAGAGAGACGGUGAUGAAUGAGAAGGAGACAAACAGCUCUAGCCUGUGUGCUCCUGUCUUGUUGAGGCUGAGGGCCUGCAGGGACAUUCUGAGUGAAGAACAUGCCAGGCCCACCUGUGGACUCCAGUCGCUGGUGAUGAAGGUAGCCAGAUGUGGGUGUCGGUUAAAGCACCUGUCAUUCUGGAUAAGGAUAGCAUGUUCAUAAAAGGGAAAUGAGUGGAGAAGGAGGGAAGGAGUUGUGAGCAAAGCAUUUAAAGCGUUGCCAGAAUAUAAGCAACAGUGCUUCAUGUCGUGAAAAACUGAGAAAAGGAGUCUUUAUGUACAGGAAGAACUCAGCAGCUGACCUCAAGAAGAAAGGAAAACAUCCUCUCUUCACUUUUCUCUGGGAUGCCUGUGCCCAGGGUCUUGAGUUUCCGACUGGGGCAUAAUGGAUUUUUGGUGGCCUGUGACUUUAUUAUGGGUCUUUUCCCAAAGUGUUUUGAAAUGGUAUGAAAGAGUGUAUUCAGUUAGAAACCUUGAGUUCUACUCCCAGGCUACUUAGAGGUUGUUUUGCAAACUUGAACAAGUCAAGUAAACCUGACUUCAACUCUACGCAAUGGAUUAUGCAAUGGUUGAAGUUCUAAGCUUGGAAGUUUCCAAUGAGAACAAAUAGGGGUGGUGAGAGCUGCCCUGCCCCUUUCAGGGACAUUAAGAGGGUCACCAGGCAGGUGAAUGUGACAGUGCCCUAAAGUUAUGAAGAAAUCUGUGCAAAACUGUAUGUUGUUAUAGUUCUUCUUGGGGCUGAUGCACCGUGACCCCUUCAACAGUUGAUGAAUCAUGGGAUAAUUGUUGAUGAGUCAUGGGAUAGGUGCUGCUUCAAGGGAUGUGGAUGUAGGUUGGACAGAGGCCGACCCCAACUCUCUACUCAUUUGCACUGUGCAUGGCAAAUUUGUUCUGGGAGUUUCUGCUUUGCUCCUGUCUUAAGCCAUCAGACCACGUGUUCAGUAGUCCAGCCCUGGCCACAGCCUCUCUGCCUGGCUGGGCCCAGGCUACUUCUAAACUCUCUGUUUUUUUUAUUUUAUUUUAUUUUUAUUUUUUUUUAUUUCAGAUUUUAUCCAACAUGGAUGUCUUGAUCCAAGAGAAAAAAAGGGAUCCCUUCAAAGUCCUUUCCCCAGUUUCCUGCUUAGUCCCACUCCUAGAGCCCUAGGGGGUUCUGUAGCUCCUCUAUAUUUUCAGGGAACUGAGCUGAAGCCAAUACGAGAUUUUAAAAGAUACCCUAUCCUUAAGCAAAGUGAGUGAUGGUGCUCAGCAUCCAUGCCAACGGUCAAAUUUUGGCUGUUUUAUUCACAUAUCUAUGUAAUUUGUAGUUUUUUGGGGGGUGGGGUGGAGGUGGCUGGACCAACAACAAACAGCUAAUCUAAAUGAGACAUUCCUGGAAAAUGAGGCACAUAAAGCUUUCUCUUUUCAUAUCCAAAAUGGAAUAAACAAUUCCACCAGCGACCACAGGAAUGCUGCUGGGGCACGAGGGCUUCAGCCUUCCUGAUGGUCAGGCACUGACUUUAAGCUUAGACUCUAGAAUUUGUUAAUGAGAGGCCCUCCUGGACAGGAAGGAAGGAGGCUUGCUUGGGGUCUGAUCUGUAAAGCACACUGGUGGAAGCUGUUUACAUGCAGCUACACAAGAGGCUUCUUCCUGAGUACCAGGCCACCCUCAGUAAGGCACUGAGUGAGCACCAGGCAUCACCAGGAAUGAGGUCUCUGCCCCAGUCCUGGCCAAAUGGAAUAAGCAAACAGACUGAGGGUGUGUCAGUGGCUUUCCUGAGUUCCCGCACCUGGUAAAUGAUGGAGUUUAGACUUGAAAAUUCUGCCUCCUGUCUCCAGGUCCAGGGAUCUCUCUGGGACGUCAGAGAAGUCAGUUAAUCUCUGCCACUCCUUCCUACCUGGAUGUUCAAUGAAAAGCCUGUUGGGCUUUCUGAGGACUAGAAGGGGGACACUGCCGAGAAUUCAGUGAGGCCAGCCCACACCCCCACCCCUUCUAGGAGAUUACCUUUAGAUCCUCCAGCCCCAGUCUGCAGCCUCCUGGGCUGAUGCUUUCUUUCUCUAUUUACAGACACUAAUCAUUUCCCAUGCAAUUGAACAACUUAAUAAGCUGCGAAAAUUUGAUAAGACAAUUUAAUUGUCGGCUUUUACAUAUCUGCUCAAUAUAGUUGGGUUUCUAGGGAAGGUGAGUGGGGAAUGUGAGCAGAGGCACUUAAUUAAAGAACUAAAACAGUGGGGCUAGAUUAGAGAGAACUCUGGCAGACACCAACCCUGGACCUACGUCUCUUCUCUCCCCCUUUCACAUGGGCCCUUUCUUUGAAAUUUUAUAAGCUCCAUCCUCUGGGUAGUAGCAAAAUAGAGAUGCAGGCCCAGGCACUUGAUGUGCAGUGUGGGGAGCUGACUUUGCAUGGGGCGGCUCCCAACUGUUAUCGGGGAGCUUUUUCUCGGGCCCAAAGUGGUUGGGUUUUAAGGGGAAGACCUAAUUCUGCGUGUAUGGUCGUAGCUCAAAGGGAUAGUUCAAAAUGGCCUCCUCAUUGAUGGGGAAGGAUGGGGGCUGAUUAUAAAAAAUUAUAAUCAUUUUUUUGGUCUUUUCCUCUAUCUUUUUGGGGAAUUUUAUGGCCAUUUGGGCAAUGCUGCAUCAUGGAGUAUUGAUGCCAAUUUUAAAUCACACAUCCUCAUUUUAUCUAAUUGAAUUCUCAUGCUAACUCUGAAAGGAAUAGGAAUCAUUAUUCCUAUUUCACAGGUGCAGAUCCUGAGACUCAGAGAGGUUAAGAAACUCGCCCAACGCCACACAGCUAGAUAAACACCUCAGGAUUUAAAUAGAUUGCAGGGGACACCAACAAGGCUCUGCUCAGAUCCCCUCAGAUCCCUCUGGCCCAUCUGUGCAUGCAGUAACAUCUGCUUCACCGUUGACUGCUUGAACCUGUGGAUCCACUUCACCUAAGAGCACAGAGAGCUGAAAGGGCCUGGAAUCCUGUUGCCUCCCGGGCAGCCUGCAGCCAAUGAGUAACUGGUGCUGGAAAACAGAAGGCUGCUCCCUUGCUGGAGACUCUCCCAGACUCAGACAUCUGCGGCCUACUGGACACGUUCCCUUGGAACUGAUGCCCCAGUGAUUCUGCUGCCUCUGCCAGAGUCAGAAAACUGUGGAUGUGGGAAGCUGCCCGUGGAGUCAGGAAGUCAUCCCUACUGAUGGAGCCUCUGCAGCCACCUUGGUCCUGGUCCACACCAGCAAUGUUGAUGCUGCCCUGCAGCCUGCCUAUCCCCUGGCUUAAUUCCGGCUCCAUGCAUGUGACGAGCAGAAAAAAGAAAGUCGCAUCUGGACCUCCGGCGGCAAGGGAGUCUGAGAAAGAUAGAUCUGUGCAUGGUCAUCUUAACCCUCCUGUAUCCUUAAAGCCCAGCACCAGGUCAAGUAUGCAGUGGGCACUCAGUAGUUGCAUGUUAAGUGAAUCGAUGAUUCUAGAAAAGAAAAUUUUGUUUACUGGCUCUUCACCUUUAGCAGGAAGUAAAUUCUCAACGGGGCUUUGGCUCGGAAAGAAUAUGGACCUGAAUGCUUUUCUCUUCCCCUCUCCUGUCCCUCCCUCCUCACUUCUCCUUUCUCCUCUUCUCCUCUCCUCUUCUCUCCCUUCCUCUGUCCCUUUUUGUCCCUUUCCUCCUCCCUCCCUCCUUUCCCUCUCCCUCUGUGUCAGCUUCCACCACCAGGAAACCAGCUUCUCCUGAGAACACACAGGGGGACCCUUCAAACUCAGUGUACAACACAGCCUCUUGAAUUCUGUGCAUUGCCUCUUUUAAUUAAACCCCUCCUUUCAGGAAGUCUCUCAAGGCUAUAAGCUUAUCAGAUCCUGAUGAGCACGUCAUCAAAGCUCCAAUCUGGUAUUAAUGGGAAAUGGCCUUUCCCUUCAGGGAGGGCCAAGCUUCUGUCCUUGGGAACCACUGCAUUCUCCUUGCUGGGAGGACACGUGGAUUUCCCCUCAGUGCUCUCUAGGGUGCUGCAAGCUGGCAAAGUUCACCUGCCCUUUUCAAAAUAUGAAAUACAUGCCUAAUUUCCAACAUCAUUGUGUUCCAUUUUCCCUGAUAACACCUUAACAGGGGCUUUAAUAACUGCAUUCUGUGGAAAGAGACACUGGCGCUGUGCUGUUGGCUCUAGGUUGUGAGCUGGGGCCCUGGCUGUGAGCCCUUGGAGGAAUCCCUUUACCUCUCUAUUCCAGGUUAUUCAUGUUUAAAAUGAAGUUCCUUAACUGCUCUCAGUUCUUCCCAGAAUUCAUGUAAUGAGUUCUAAGUGUCAGUUCUGCUAGGUCUAGGGAGAGGGAUGAAGCCUCUACAUGAGCCAGCCUGUGUUGGUUGGGGCAGAGCCUAGAGAUCCCUGGUUCAGUGAGGCUCCUGCACUAGGGAAGGGACCUCUGAGCUCCUCUUCUCGUGCCAAGCCCAUCUCCGCUCAUCCCAUGCUGACUGCAAGAAUGGUGUUUGCUCAAUGGUCAGGGAAGUGGUGCCCAAGAGCAGGAACCUGGCUUCACUCUGUCUCUCCUCUGGGCAUCAAAGAGGCAGUACCUGCUAGGACCGUCUCUUCCUUUCUAAAAUCAGGAAGUAACAAAAGGCAGGCUGGGAUUGCCCAUAGAUACAGCUCCGUCUUUCUCUCUCUCUCCUGAAACAGCCUGCAGACAUUCCUGAGUUCUUGUGCUGAGAUUAGGUUCAUUGUCAAACCCAAACCCAUUUGUUUUAAAGCCAGUUGUGCAAAAAUAUAUUAAAAAGCAAACAUGCGCAAACCAGAAGCCAGGGUCGGGGUUAUUGAGUGUAGCUUCGAUAUUAAUAACAUGAAAUAGAGUUCCCAGUCUCCCAAUUUCCCAUCUGAAUGGAGCUCUUUCAAAGCCCAGGAAGGCAGAUGGGAUGCACAGGGCAGGAUGGGCCCCUUCCAGGGUUUCUCAGUCCAAUGCCAUCACAGAGGAACUUGAAUGUUAUUUCUGGCAGUGUGGACUGGCUUCACACAGAGAUGAGGUGGCAGACGAUGAGGGACUUCCUGGCCAUAUUAAUGUGUAGAAUGCCUCUAAGCCACACAGGUACAAAGUGAGGGUGGAAACAUUAUUUCUAGCCCUUGGAACUGAUAGAAAAAUACUCCUGACAAAGAAUACAGGGAAUACUGCUGGUGGGACUCAGUAUAAGGUCACUUUGCUGGAAAGUAACAGAGAAUAAAUAAAAUUGAUUGAGUGCCUAUUAUGUGCUUGAAAUCACUUUACAUGCUGGGGCCACAGCAGUUGUCAAAAUUGUUGGAAAUCUCUGCCCUCAUGGAGCUCAGAGUCUAGGGGAUUUUUAAAAAUCACAGGCUGGGCAGAUACUGAAGCUGGCUUUGGGGCCAUUCGGAACUAAAGACUUGAAUUCUAACAAGAUUUCUGUGAUUCAGUUUCUUGCUGUGUCUUGGAGUCAUUUCCUCCAAGCACCUUCUGUCUCUACCUCUGUCAAGAAGAGGACAAAAUAGCCACCAUCCACAUUCUUGUCCCCAGACUGAUGAAGAAGAUGAUAAAAGGGAGGCUUUAGUUGGUAAGCAGAAAGGCACCAUGUAAGUGACAGGCUUACAUCUUGUAUGAAAUCAAGUGGGCAAGAAAGCUUCUGCUCAGGUGGGUACAGCCCCAAGGAGGCUGAUAGGUGAGCACUCUUAGGAACAUGGGCUUGCAGACUUCCCAGUGAAUGCUUCCUUGGGCUGUCAUUUGAACCUAAGAAGAAAGCACAGUUCAAGAAAGAUGAACACAUGUAGCCAACCUGAACUGAAACCAAGAAGGAAAGGAUCAGUCAAAUAGCUGUCUCCUCUGGGCUUGGCUGCCUGUCCUUGGAGAUAAUACUGGCACGUAGCAAGAACUUCCACCUGCAGCAUCCACAGCACAUCUCCAUGGGCCUUAGCAAGAUGCUAUGCAACACGGCUCUUUUCCAGUAUCCUAAUUUUCUGUUCAUAACAUGUUGGGUCUUUGGGAAUCACCAUUAUAAUCAUCAUAAUGUGUUGGGUCUUUGGGAAUUACUGUCAUGAUCAUCAUCAUCACCACCACCACCACCACCAACAUCAGUUUUCCUGGUCUCAUCUUCAUGAUCCUGUUUCAUUUCUUACUACUUCAAACAUUCUUUUUUCCUUCCCUAUGCCUGGAACAUCCUCUGCUCAUUUCUAAUCCCAGAUCUUUGCUUCAGCUGUGGCUCCCUGCACUCCCUGCCUGGGGAAUGCCCCAUGUACCCCCUUUUUCUUGCUAAAAUAUUACACACCUUCAAGACCAUCUCAAGCCCCCCCUUUCAGGAAGCUCUCCUCUAUCUACUCAUGCCCUCCGGUACCUGAGUAUUUGCACAAUAUUAGAACUUAAACAUUCAUCAUUUUAGUCUACAUUCCAGCAACUCUGUAAGGUUGGAAUCAUUUCCUCCAUUUUAUCGAUGAGAUAACAGGUUCAGAGAGGCCGGGUAUUGCCCCAGGAGGAAGGAGCUGGAGCCCCCACAGCUGUGUCUAUUCUACUCUGCCUUGGUGUGCUUGCUUUCCCAGGAGCACACCAGAUGUUGAGAGCAGUAGUUCUCAAACUUCAGGGUGCAUGUACAUUACCAGGGACUGUUUGGCAGACGUUCUGGGGUGGGGAACAAACAUCUGUGUGUGGUUCACCAACGGUCCCUGGUGACUAUGGUUUUAUGGCUGGUCCUGUAGCCAUUUGAGAACCGUUGCCUUCAGAGGUGCACGUAGUCCCAUAACUGAAGAUGUGGCUCCCUGAGGCUCCUGGGAAGCCAACCGCCUCCCCAGACCUACAGAAUGGGAAUGGAAAUCUCCGGGUGUGGGGGUGGGGGCUGGAGGGGGUGGGCCUGGGAAUCUCUAGCUAAGAGCCUCAGGGGUUUUUUAUCAUCUGGCAAGUUUGGGAAAGCUGACUGAGAGUCAGGCCCAUCCAAUUAGCACUUAAUUGUAUCCUGCUUUAUCUUCUUCCCCAAUUAGUUCUUCUGCAUCAGUUAAGCUCCUUGGAGGCCCAGACAACAGCACUUAAUUCAGCAUUGCCCUGAGAGCUGGCAUGGUGCUGGCUAGGUGACUGGCAUUAUGGAAAACUGACUGCAUCUGCUUUAGGAAGAGAGGCAUGUCCAGAGUGGAAAUUCUGGAAGCUCCUUGCAAAACUAAUACCUGGGCUUCUGCACCUCCCCAGCUUGAUGUCUGCUCUUAUCCCUCAUCUCUGCAAAGCCAGGUGCUUCCUCUUGCUUAAAGACCAGCUCAAGGCUCUCUUAUUCCAAGAACUGACUCCAUUACCUCCAGCUAGAUAUAAGCCCAUGGGUCUGUGGAUCCUUCUGAUGUGAAUUUACCUGGAUUUCUGUUUUUCACGGACAGAGGGCUUCAGGAAAGCUCCUGGCCUGACAUGAUGCUAGGCACAUAGUAUUGCUCUUUCCUUCCUACAUCCUCUUCUAGGGAGGGCAUCUUAUCCACCUUGAACAUUCCUACCAUGGAAAACAGUGGCUUGCACAUAGCACAAGGUCAGUUAAUAUUUUGGAUUCCUACAUAAGUCUCAGAGAUGUUAAUAGGAAUUACCAUCUUGUUGCAAUGAAUGUGAGCAAGUAUGUGUUGUGCACAUAAAUUAUCCCACUCCCGCCAAAGGACUAUGUUACUCUUUUUCAAUUACCCAAGCAACUACUCCAGUGCCUUAUGCAUGAUUACCUUCUCUAAGUAUUUUCUUUCUAAAUUAAUACAAUUAUUAACUUCUCAGGGUGUGAACUGUAAAGGGGAAAAUGUGUGCUUCUCUGUUUAAAACAUUAGUAUCUUUAUUUUAAAUCUACUCCAGACUUGCCCAGACUCCUUCACUACUCAGAGUCUCUGAGCAUCGGCUUCCUUAACAUUCAAAAUGGAAAUGAUAAUAAAAACUUUGCACAUCUCUAAAAAUCUCUGAAAAAAAAAAUUUGUCACAUUGAACACAUAAAGCAAGCACUGGAUAAAUUGUAGCUGCAUGGUAUAGUACAGACAACUUGAGACAUAGAUGGAAGGCAGAGCCUAUAUUUUAUUCCUGCCAAACAAAAAUUAAAACAAAGGCAUUAUAAGAACCCAGUGUUGGUGACAUUUGUGAUGGAACAGGCACACUUAUUUUGGAGGCCUGUUUAGCAAUGCUUACCAGGAGUCAUAAAUAUUUUCAUAUACUUUUACCACCGCACAGCAGUUCUAAGAAUUACUACAGGAGAAUGAUUUUUAGAGAGGAACAAGUUAAAUAUAGGCAUCAGUGUAAUUUACAAAGGUGAAAACAAAAAGUAACCUAAAUGCACAUGAAUGGGAGCAAGGUUACAUAAAUUACAGUGCAACAAUGUAAUGGAAUAUCUCACAGCAAUUAAGAAGGCUAAAGACAAAUCCCAGGUAGAAACAUUUAGUGAUUGAAAAUAAUAAGUGUAAUGGUAAAACACAAUUUUAUGUAUACUUUGAUUAAAAUGAUUCAAAAUGAUAUAUUUACUUACAGCCGUGAAGAAAAGAAUAAAGACAUGAACAUGUUUGCUGUGUUAUAUUAGUGAAAUUAAAUUUAUUUUAUACAUGCUAUAUAUGUAUGUAUACAUGCAUGUGCGUAUGUAUGUAUACAUUUAUGUAAAUAUAUAGAUGCAUGAAUACACAUAUGUAUAUGUAAAUAUGUAUAUGUACAUAAAUGUGUAUGUACACUUAUAUAGGUGUAUAUGCAUGUACAUAUGUAUGUGUAUAUGUAUAUGUGUAUAUCUACAUAUGUAUAUGUGUAUAUAUACCUUUAUGUACAUAUAUAAAAAUAUUUUAAUUUUUAUUUUAAAUACUUUAUAUAAAAUUUACACACACAUCUAUAUCUAUAAAAGUAGAUAUAUGUAUAUAUCUGUAUACAGAUAUAUAUGUAUACAUAUAUACAUAUAUACACAUAUAUACAUAUAUACAUAUCUGUAUACAGAUAUAUAUACAUAUAUAUCUGUAUAUAUGUACAUAUAUACAUAUAUACAUAUAUAUGCAUACAUAUAUACAUAUAUGCACAUAUACACAUAUAUGUACAUAUAUGCAUAUAUAUACAUAUAUACAUAUAUACACACACAUAUAUAUAUACAUGUCUACUUUUGAAAAUCUUCCUAAUAGUUCUGCAAGGCAGGUUUUAGUACCUUGAGGAAACAGGUGACAAUAUUUUACUAAAUCACAUAUCUAACAAAAGUUAUCAUAAGCCUUCAAAUGAACCUUGGCCCACCGGCCCCCAAAUCUUUGCUUUUUAAAAUUAUUCACAAAUUGUUUUCCAAUGUGUGUACAUUUGAUGUUGGUUUCUUUUGAUAACUCAUUUCCAAUAAGACCUUAUUUUAUAUUACAACAAUGAAGAUAGAUAAAUAAAUACAUCAAAAUAUUUAUUAUGUGUACUACAUACAUUUUAUAAUUAAAAUGUGCUAGAUUGUUACCUUGUUAGCUCCAAUCAACCACCUCCCAGUAUUCACAGUUUUGUGUAGUCCCAUUUCACAUAGGCACUAGACUUGGCUAUGUGAUGUGAUGUGUUUUGGCCAAUGGGUCAUUGGCAAGCUUGAAAUAAGAACUUCAUAAGUACUUGUGAGUUAAGGUUUGUCCUGUUAGAAGCUAGUCACCAUGCUAUCAAGACACCCAAGCUAGCUGCAUGGAGAUGAUGCAGGAUUUUUCUUGAUCCCUUUGCCAGCUGGGGACCUCCAGCCAGCAAUGACCCUGCCCAGGCCUCACUUGAGCAUGCUACCUGUUGCAGGAGGUGGCCUGCCCACCCAGCCCACCUGGGCUGCACCUGAAUUGUGAACUGGCUUAGCCCGAAGCUGGGCUGGGCAUGCUCUAGCUCACCUGUGUUAUAGCUCAUACCUGUGUUCAGUGGUUCCUGAGUUCUUGUCCCGCGUCCAAGAAGAAUGAGGAUAUGCUGACAAUUGAAGGGUGAGGAGAGCAGAGAAGAAUUUUAUUGAGUGAUGGAACAGCUCUCAGCAGAGAGGGGAUGUGGGGGUAGUCCCCCACCUGAAGUUGGGUGGUUUCUCUUCCAGUGUAGCUGAAUCUGAGGCUUUUAUGGACUCAGAAUAGGGGAGUGCAUGCUGAUUGGUUUGUGAAUAUGCAAAAAUGGUUAAAACAAAGGCACCACUCAAAUGUGGGCAUGACAGUGUAAAUAAACCAAUUAGGGAAGGGUAGGUAUAUGUAAAAUAGGUGAAGGGUGAGGAUCAAUCAGAGGAAAGCAUGCCCAACAGGAAGAUAGAUUCUCAGUCUGGUCUGUGGAUUUGACUUGUAGUUAGGCUUAAACUGUCUUUGGCUUGGAGAUGGGGUUUCACCAGGGACACGCCCCUAUCUGCCUAUGCAUUUGUCUGCCUCCUGCCACUAUCAGAGAGGCCACAGAGAAGAGAAUUGAGGCUUCCCAGAAAAGAGCCCUGAUGAGGUCCCCGCUCACAAUAUGGAGAGAUCGUUUAGGAUUACCAGCCCCUUUGAAGCCUCCAGAAAAUCACAGCUCUGUUAGUAAUUUUUGUGGACUCCAUGCAAAGAAAAGAAUCAUUUAAUGAGCCCAGUCAACCCAUAGAAUCAUGAGAAAUAAUAAAUCUUUGUAGUUUCAAAGCGCUAAGUUUUGGGAUGGUUUGUUAAACAGCAAGAGAUGACCAAUAUAUCAGACCUGAAAAAUUUAAAGCACCAGGAAAAUUUUAAAGUACCAGGAAAAUUUUAAAGUACCAUCCUAGCACAUAGUAGAUGCUUAAUUAAAAUGUCUAUGAAGAAGAAGGGGUCAAUUCUGUCACUUGGCAUUCAGAUUCCCUUUUUGCUCACUAUAGCCUUCCACUUUAAGAAGAGAACCAACAUCCCUGUUGAACUGGAUUCAUCUGCAAACCAGGCCAGCAAUCCUGGCUCAGGCAGGCCUUCCAGGAGGGCAAACUGUAUAGUUCUAUAGCAAAGGGGGCAUUGUCCUUUCUGAAAUGCCAGAUCCUUUAUAAGCUGGAGAGUUACAGUCACUGUUUGGUAAUUGCCCUGCCCCCUGCUAGUGCUUCCAUUCUUGGCUCUUAUAAUAAAGUUCAGUCUCAUGCUCAUUUUUUAUCUUCCUAAAUGGGGCCUGCCAUGGAGCAGCCAUUUGUAUUACGAUCUUAGGCAACCAUGACUGUUCCCAGCCACAGCAUCCCUAAUGCCACUGCCUUAGUUCAGACCCGUAUCAUUUCUCCCCUGGAUAAUUACAACAGCCCCUAACAAGUCUCCUAGCAUUUUGGCAUACACUCCUCUAUUCCAUUCUCUGUAGCAGGCAGUAGGCCAUUUCUAAAGUACAAACUAAAUCAUUUCACCAUGCUUUUUAAAACCUUCCAAUAGGCUCCCCAUUGCCUCAAAGCAAAAUUUCUCAGACUGGAUUAAUGAGUGAGUGUUCCACAGGGUGUGGGCUAGGAAUGAGAAUAUAGUUUAACACAUUUGGGAAACCCUGGGUUAAACAUGGUUAACCAGGUAUUUUUGUGUGUUUGUUACAGGAUUUCUCAGAGCCUUUAAUAUGCUGAUGCAAAUUGUGAAUCUUAUCACAAGAGUGAUAUAAAAUCAACAUUUACCAAACUUGCUUUCUUGGCAGACUAUCUUUGGUUCCACUGAGUUGCAGUUUAGAAUUUUUCAAGUAUUUCCAAGUCCCUUAGUCUGGUAGACAAGUUUCUUCAUAAUCUGACCCCUGCUUAUUUCUUCAGCACAAGUCUCUACAUUUCUCCCAGGUCCUUGCUUCUUGACAAUUUGGUUCCUAUGUACCUGCUUUCCUUUAUCUAAAGUCAACCAUCCUGUUCUUUCAUAGCCCUGGUUAAUUCUUAUUCAUCCUUUGAAUCUCAGGUCAGUCUUCUCUCCUCUGGGAAAUCUUAUCCUAUCCCCACCAUACCUCAUCCCACCCCACCCUCCCUUGGGCUGAGUUAUACAUUCACCCUAUGACAUCCCAUGCUUUUUCCUAUUAUAUUAACUUUCACACAACCUUAGAGUUUCCUGCUUGUCUCUCCUUGUAGAUUGCAUGUUCCUUUGGGCAGGGCUGUCAGCAGGGCACUUAGUGUGCAUUCAGUAAGUGUUUCUUGAGUAAAUGAGUACUGAGAAAUAGAAUGCAUUUUGUGAAAACAGUUGUUGACUAAGAAUUUUCUGAAUGCAGUCACACUGAUAGUAGAUACCUUUUCAGGUGCCAAUCCAUCUAUGGUGUAAACAUGUCUCUUAUACUGACCAUACUCUACAGGUGUUCUCUGUGAUACUAUCUCCUGGGACCAUUUAAAUUCACAUGAAGAAAACUGAGCCGACCUGACUCAUUCUCUGAGGAUUCGAACUUAGGAAUUGUUAGAAGUUUAUUCAAACUGCAGAAUCAUAAACUGCAGAGCUCUGGUGGCCGUUUUGUGUAUGAGUAAAUGGGAGCGAUGGAAGCAGUUCUGUAGAAAGAGAGGGAGAGAAGUGAAGGGCAUUGGGCUACAGAUGUUCCUCGAUGUCCCAAUAAACCCAUCAUAGAGUUGCAUGAUGUUGAAAAUAUUCUAAGUCACAAAUACAUUUAAUACACCUAACCUACUGAACAUCAUAACUUAGCGUGCCUUCAGUGUGCUCAGAACACUUAGAUUAGCUUACAUUUGGGCAAAAUCAUCUAUUUAACACAAAGCCUAUUUUAUAAUAAAAUAUUGAAUAGCUCAUGUAAUUUAUUGAAAACUAUACUAAAAGUGAAAAACAGAAUGGUUGCAUGGGUACCUGAAAUAUGGUUUCUACCAAAUGUGUAUUGCCUUUGCAACCAUCUUAAGUCAAACCAUCAUAAGCUGGGAACUGUCUGUAUUUAGAAAAAAGCAAAGAUGGAGAGGUAUUCCUAACCCCCUGGGUUCCUAAUUUCUCACAGAUUUCUCAUUUCAGCACUAGCUGAGGUCUGGCUAUCAGCCUGUCACAGAGUUAGGAGUAUGUCAUCACAGUGAUUUUUCUUUCCCCUCCUCCAGCCUAUUUGAAGGAGGCCCUGUUAUGUGUUACCAAUAGGGUCUUUACUAAGCAAUGUCUAGUUUUUUUCCUUGAAAAACUUGAAAUGUGAAUGGCUCUCUCAACAUGCUUCUCUUUGUAACAGCCACAUUGUGAAUAUUAAUGGCAGUACUUAAGCAGGUCGAUUGUGCACUGAGAAUAUGAAAUAUGCAUGUCACUUAAAAACAAAUGAUUGUCCAUACAGUGCUUGGGCUGAAUUAUUCUCCCUCAGGUUGUCACACCUGAUGCAGAGGGAAGCUAAGGCAAUGCAUCUGUGCCAGACUUUAUAGAUCCCAAGGUCAGGAUCAAAAUGUGCAGAUUCAGGAAGAUGCUUUUUCACUAAUGAUUUGUUACCGUUAACUUGACGCACUGGGUGGAUUUAUAUAGAGAAAAAUGUUAAUAAAAUGUUCUUCGAGCUACAUUUCUGCUUUGCUGAGUUGUCAUUCCAUUAAGCAAAUUUGAGGCAAUGUAAUUGCUAUAAGAUUCUACAUAUUUGCAAAUGAAUUUGUGAGUUUAUUUGGGAAAUGAAUGGGUUUUAACUUGGCUUGUUGGACUAAUUUUAUUUUGCUGUUUCCAGGAGAUGUCCUAGCGAG
rnacentral:lncRNA from 1 species